CGGAGGGUGCAAGCGUUAUCCGGAUUCACUGGGUUUAAAGGGUGCGUAGGUGGGUCUGUAAGUCCGUGGUGAAAUCUCCGAGCUUAACUCGGAAACUGCCAUGGAUACUAUAGAUCUUGAAUACCGUGGAGAGUAGCGGAAUAUGUCAUGUAGCGGUGAAAUGCUUAGAUAUGACAUAGAACACCAAUUGCGAAGGCAGCUUACUAAACAGGCAUUGACGCUGAGGCACGAAAGCGUGGGGAUCAAACAGGAUUAGAUACCCUGGUAGUCCACGCCCUAAACGAUGAUUACUCGACAUACGCGAUACUACUGUGUGUGUCUGAGCGAAAGCGUUAAGUAAUCCACCUGGGAAGUACGUCCGCAAGGAUG
rnacentral:rRNA from 1 species